AUUGAACGCUGGCGGCAGGCCUAACACAUGCAAGUCGAGCGGAUGAAGGGAGCUUGCUCCUGGAUUCAGCGGCGGACGGGUGAGUAAUGCCUAGGAAUCUUCCUGGUAGUGGGGGAUAACGUCCGGAAACGGGCGCUAAUACCGCAUACGUCCUGAGGGAGAAAGUGGGGGAUCUUCGGACCUCACGCUAUCAGAUGAUCCUAGGUCGGAUUAGCUAGUUGGUGGGGUAAAGGCCUACCAAGGCGACGAUCCGUAACUGGUCUGAGAGGAUGAUCAGUCACACUGGAACUGAGACACGGUCCAGACUCCUACGGGAGGCAGCAGUGGGGAAUAUUGGACAAUGGGCGAAAGCCUGAUCCAGCCAUGCCGCGUGUGUGAAGAAGGUCUUCGGAUUGUAAAGCACUUUAAGUUGGGAGGAAGGGCAGUAAGUUAAUACCUUGCUGUUUUGACGUUACCAACAGAAUAAGCACCGGCUAACUUCGUG
rnacentral:rRNA from 1 species